AACGAACGCUGGCGGCAUGCCUAACACAUGCAAGUCGAACGAUCCCUUCGGGGAUAGUGGCGCACGGGUGCGUAACGCGUGGGAAUCUGCCCUUGGCUUCGGAAUAACAGUUAGAAAUGACUGCUAAUACCGGAUGAUGUCUUCGGACCAAAGAUUUAUCGGCCAGGGAUGAGCCCGCGUAGGAUUAGGUAGUUGGUGGGGUAAAGGCCUACCAAGCCGACGAUCCUUAGCUGGUCUGAGAGGAUGAUCAGCCACACUGGGACUGAGACACGGCCCAGACUCCUACGGGAGGCAGCAGUGGGGAAUAUUGGACAAUGGGCGCAAGCCUGAUCCAGCAAUGCCGCGUGAGUGAUGAAGGCCUUCGGGUCGUAAAGCUCUUUUACCCGGGAUGAUAAUGACAGUACCGGGAGAAUAAGCUCCGGCUAACUCCGUGCCAGCCGCCGCCGUAAGAC
rnacentral:rRNA from 1 species